GUAGGUGGCAAGCGUUGUCCGGAAUUAUUGGGCGUAAAGCGCGCGCAGGCGGUCCUUUAAGUCUGAUGUGAAAGCCCACGGGCUCAACCGUGGAGGGUCAUUGGAAACUGGGGGACUUGAGUACAGAAGAGGAAAGCGGAAUUCCAAGUGUAGCGGUGAAAUGCGUAGAGAUUUGGAGGAACACCAGUGGCGAAGGCGGCUUUCUGGUCUGUAACUGACGCUGAGGCGCGAAAGCGUGGGGAGCAAACAGGAUUAGAUACCCAGGUAGUCCACGCCGUAAACGAUGAGUGCUAAGUGUUAGGGGGUUUCCGCCCCUUAGUGCUGCAGCUAACGCAUUAAGCACUCCGCCUGGGGAGUACGGCCGCAAAGGCUGA
rnacentral:rRNA from 1 species